UCCAGGAUGAAGCUGAAAAGAAGGUAUGAUAUUUGCAAUGAAUUUCUAUGUUGCUAUUUCCCACAAAUAUGAUAGUAGCAGAAUGGUUCAAAAUCAAUGCUGAAUACAAAUCAUAAAUUUAAUCUGAAUUCUGUAGUUGUCAAUUUUACUCUACCACAAUGCAGCUUCAUUUGCUUGAAUUUAAAUUGAGUACUUUUUCGACCACCUGCAGGCAAGGAUUGAGAAG
rnacentral:misc_RNA from 1 species